CGGCUCCACGCCCCGCCCCCACGUCCCGCCGCAGACACAGGCCAGACAACAAGCCGCGAGGGGCGCCCCCGGCUGCGCGGAGGAGGACUUCUGUCUGCGGAGGCUUCCGUAGACCUCCGGGUCCCGGCCCCAAUCGCCUUCCUUUUUCGACUGCGCCAGCCUGUUGUGCUGUCAAGGGGCGCGGCCCUGCCCUCCUUAGCUUCCCAACCUCCCUUCUGCUGGCCAAGCAGAAGUUCAUUUGGGGCUCAUACAGCCCUCACAGGACCAUAGCCAGAAAAAAAAAAUAGGGAGGGGUUGAUUUUUUCUUUCUUUCCCCGAGAUGACUUUUUAGGUCAGUGUCUUCUGACCUGACAGGAGAUCUCAACAAGGCCCUGAAAUUGCCAUAAUAAUAAUAAUAAUAAUAAUAAUAAUAAUAAAUCAUUAUUAUUAAUGAUAAUAAGAAGGGUUGUUGUAUCUCUUUCAGGCUGUGUGGCCAUGUUCCAGAAGUAUUCUCUCCUGACGUUUCGCCCACAUCUGUGGCAGGCAUCCUCAGAGGUUGUGAGGCAUGUUACAGAAUCAGAGCGAGAGGAGACCACAAGAACCAUCCAGUCCAACCCCCUGUCAUGCAGGAACACACAAAGCACUUUCAACAGAUGGCCAUCCAUCCCGUUUAAAAACUUCCAGAACAGGAAAUCACCACUCUCCGAGGUAGCGUAUUCAAUUGCUGAAUUUUACCAUCAGGGAGUUCUUCCUUUUGUUUAGGCGGAAUCUCUUCCUUCAAUUUGAAUCAGUUCCUUCAUGUCCUAAUCUCCAGAGUUGGAAAAGACAAGCUUUCCCCUCCUCGAUGUGACAUCAUUUCAGAUAUUUAAACAUGACUAUCAUGUCCCCCCUCAGCCCUCUUUUCUCUAAGCUAAACAUACCCAGCAUUCUAAGAAGCUCCCACAGCUGUGUACUUUAUAACCUGGGAGUUUAAUAUUACUUUAUUGCAACUGAGGAGGCAAAUUUAUAUCCAUGAAAACGUGCAGUAAAAUUUAAAAAAUGCUAUGACAUUUUUUUCCCUUCAAGUUUUUUCCUCCCCCUUUUAUGUUGGAAGAGACUAACAUGGCUUCUUCUUUGAAAAUUAUUACAACAUAAAGUGAUUCCAUACUAGAUUUUUUUAUAGAUUAUUCUAAUAAGGUUUUAAAAUAAUGUUUUGCACAUGAAAAAGCAGCCAAAACAUUACCUGUAUUUGUAUUUAAUAUACUCUAUAAUAGUUUCCAGAUAUGUUGGAUGACACCCAUCAUUCUCAAUCUUUUGUACUGGCUAGGGAAUGAUGGGAUAUGGGGUGUUCCUACCUGAGGAAAUAUGCCCCACAUCACAUAAGACUUCAUAAAAACAUAAAGGACCUAAACAUUUGUCUCCUCAGAGGCCCCCAUUCAUCCAGAAUAUACAUUUUUGUUCAUUAGUUCAUGUAUCCUUCUUUUUAAAACUUACAAAUUUUAUUCACCAAGACCUUGCAAAUAGGAGCAGCACCAAGAACAUUUGCUCCCAGCCUUAAAAAAUGAGGGUGGCCACAUCAAUACUGAAUUGUUAUAUGCCUUCAAAUUAUUUCCUUUUCUGGCUAUCCUAUCAUGGGAUUUUCUUGGCAAGAUUUGUUCAAGGAGAGUUUGCCUUUCUCUGAGGCUGAGAGUGACUUGUCCAGCGUUACCCAUGAAGUCAAAAUUUAGAUUGCAAUUAUAUGAGAAUUCGGCCUGGCAAGCAUUUUAUGCUAACAAUCAAAGGUUCCAGAUUAAAGACUCACCAGAGUUCGAAGAUAGAGACAGAAGCUUUAAUUACACUCUGGCCAAGAGUGGAUGCAAGCAGGCUCACGCCUAAAGUACAAGCAUAACCAACAUGGAGUGUGCAUCCAUUUUUUCAAAGAUUCAUGCAUUAGCAUUGUCUGAGUUUAAGUUUUCUGACCCCAACCCCAAUUGGGUGAGCGCCGAGAGCUGGCCAGUGCUACCUCUGCUCCUGAUUGGCCAGGGGACAGGCUCAGACCAGCCCACUCUGUGAUUGGCACUGACUCCAAUGACAUGACUGAGGAUCUCCCAACCAAGUGGGGGAAGCCCAGGGCCACCCAAUCAGCUGGCUGGGGUGUUUCCAUGGGCAAACAGGAGUCCUCAGGAAGUGAUGUCCAUUUUUGGAGACUCAGUCUGGAAUCUUAAGGACAAUGGAUGUCCAGGUGUGGAAAUGGUGAGAUUAGGCAAAUGCCAAGUCCAGGAUGCCAAGGACAAUGGGUGCUGUGUCCCCAAGCCCAUUCCCAGACAGGACAGACAAAGGAAAGGUCCCAUGAUGUUUAUUGGAAUGGCAAGGUGCUCAGAAGUUUAUUUGUCCAAUGUCCUCUGUAGCUGAUGUCUCAGGUCCCAGAUGGCAAUCAUAAGGCCACAAACUCAGUUGCUGGAAUAUAAUGUCUGAGUGAUAAUUGUCCCUUCUACACCUUUUGCCUGAGGUGUUGAAGGGCGUUUUGGAAUUGUUGGUCCUAUCUGGGGUCGGGAAGUGGUUAAGACAGUUCACCGUAGUUUGCCUUAUAUUUAAUAUAUCAGUAAUAAAAGUAGAGUCCAUACACAGGAUAAUGAAGAGAGAAAGAGGGGAAUGGGGUCCUGGGCUUCUGGCAUGGCGAAAUACUGGACAUGUAUUAAAAGAGGUUGAUAUUCUUAGUUAUUGAACUCCUUCAAAUUCAGCAGAGGUGCAGAUGAUCUGAGAAAAAUACAGACAUAGAGUGCGGUACAGUCAGGGAUAGGAAGUGUCAAGAGAUCCAUUUUGAGGUCAUGUUAGUAGUGGAAAGAUGUUUUAUUUGGGAAAAUUUGGUAUUUAGAUGUCCUUGGGGGAGGCCUCGUCCUCUCAAGCACACACACACACACACACACACACACACAGAGUUCUGGAAUCUCUUUAAACCAGAAUACUAGGUGUCCCCAGUCUGACAGAAGUUCAACUUUCCAGUGAGAUCCCAGCCAACGUGGUGGAGGAGUCUGCGUGGUGUUAAACUGACCAGGCCAAAUUGCUUUCUGAAUCAGGAGACAUUACAAUGUCCAAGGUUGUCAUCUCAAUCUCUUCAAAGGUGCAACUCCAGAGAUAACUAAGCAUUUCUUGCUCUCAGAAAGAAAGUUUUACUCUGAAAAAAUCAAGAGGUAGAAAAAAUACGGAGACCUGGAGCUCCAGUGAUGCCUCCGAAAUAGAAGAACAUUGAGCAGUGACAAUACAUUGGCUUUUAUAAUUUUACAGUCCUGUGCCACCCUUUCGGAUUUUACUCAAUCAGAGUUUCACAACAUAGUCCAUGUCACCCUCUGUCCAGUUCUUAUCUGUCCAGUUCUUAUCUGUGGGGACUGUUUAUCCCAACCCAACAGGUACACCACGAGUGUUGAUGUCAAUCGGCAGGGGAAGAUCCAUCAAGCCUCCAGCUUAUCAAGGCCAUCUGUGUCCAGCAGGGUGAGUGAUGGGAUGCUCACAACUGGUCCACUGCAGGGUGAGGAAAAUCUUAUAUACAGAAAUGACACCACUUUUAGAGAUUGAUGUCCUUAGGUAAAGGUUUCCCCUGACGUUAAGUCCAGUCAUGUCUGACUCUGGGGGUUGGUGCUCAUCUCCAUUUCUAAGCCGAAGAGCCGGUAUUGUCCAUAGACACCUCCAAGGUCAUGUGGCCGGCAUGACUGCAUGGAGCGCCGUUAUUUUCCCGCCGGAGCGGUACCUACUCACAUUGUCAUGUUUUCGAACUGCUGGGUUGGCAGAAGCUGGAGCUAACAGCGGGCGCUCACUCCGCUCCCGGGAUUUGAACCUGCGACCUUUCGGUCUGCAAGUUCAGCAGCUCACCGGAGCUCCUUAGAGCUAAGGACAUCCUAAGAUGUCCUUAGAAAACAAUAAAUCUUUUGGGGGUGGGGGUCCUGUGUUCGACAACACCCAGUUGGUUUCAAUGGCUGAGCAAAGAUUCAAACCAAAAGCAUAGCUGGACAUUCAAACUACUAUACUGCACUCAAUUCCCUCUUCUUUGCCCUCCAACUCAAUAGUUCCCUUGACACCCUCUUUCGCCCACACAGUUAUCAAUAUUUCCUGUCUCUCAGAGGCAUAAGCGAUUUACUCUGCUGCCUUCUCUUUCUUUUUAAAUUGUAUUUCUUUCAAUUAAUGGCUUCAUGUAUGUUCUGGCAUCCCAUAAUAGUCUCCCACCCUUCCGUUUGCCCCAUGAGCCAAAUACAUUCUCAGCCAUUAAGGAUGUUCUCUCCUUUGAAUCGUUUCACAGAAGAUCUUGGCCCCACAUAGACCCCCCAAGAGUGGAGAGGAGGUUUGCAACCAAAGCAGCAUUGAUGCCUCUUGAGGGGAAUGAAGGCCUUUCCUUCCACUGCAGUAACUCCCUACAUCAAGGCUACAACCAUGAAACGAAAAGGGGACUCUUCCUCUUCACCCCACCAGUACAUUUGGGGGAUCUUUCCCUGGUUUCCUUUCUCUCCUGUCUGCCUUCCCUCCCCCCAAAGACCUUUCCCCUGCCCCACCACUUGCCAUAAGCUGAUAGCUGUACUGGUGGGUAUUCUUGCAUUGCAGCGAAUGCUUUUUUUUUUCUUGAAAUUCUCACUGUGUUUUGCUCAAACAUCAAGGAGAGAAUGACAAAACGAACUCCAUUAUGCCUUUCAUGAUGCACUUAGGCAAUGAAUGAAUUUCCUGGGAAUAAACCCCACACACAAAAGUUGCACAUUUUUAUCUUCUCAACUAUGCUUUGAGGAAAGUUCAACAGAGAGUUUAAUAUCAGUUCAAAAUGAGUACAUGAGGUUCAUGGGUAUGAAUAUCGUAUGCCAUGUGCCUUGCAGGGAGGCUGGGUGAAAUGAGGUGAAGACACAGCACUCAUGCCAUUAUCCUGGACCUGGGGAAGAAGCUUUGAUAAAGGCCCAUUGUAGAUUUCCAGAAUUAAUAUUAUUGUAAUGUUAUUACAAGAAAAAUCCCAGAAUACUGGUAUACAGUGUUACCUCACCACUUCGCGGUUCACUUUUCACGGAUUUUUUGUUUCGCGGUUUUUCAGUAAACUCCAAAAGACUAUUAUAAAUCAUAAAAAAAUUACAAUUUACAGUCUAAGGAAGGAGAAGCCAAAGGGAGAGAAAAGGAGCCCAAGUGGCAACGGAAGAAGGAGGCGAUUUAUCCACACACGAUUGGUUGAUAAAGACUUAAAAAUAGUGUAUAACUACUUAAAAUAGUAGACUUAAAAUAGUGUAUAACUACUAAAGUAAUCUAUAAAUAUUAAAAUAAAUAUAGUGUCCCUAAAUCGCGGAUUUUCACUUACUGUGGGUGAUCCUGGAACCUAACCCCCGCAAUAAGUGGGGGAACACUACAUUUAAACUAUCUUGGAAAGUAAGUUUCUGAAUUCAAAUUAAUAAUAAUAAUAAUAAUAAUAAUAAUAAUAAUAAUAAUAAUAAUAAUCACUUGGGAAGUGUUUGACUUGUGAUUUUGUGAUACGCAAUCCAGCAUAUCUAUCUUGUUUGCUGUGUCAUACUAUGUUGUUGUGUCAAUAAUAAUAAUAAUAAUAAUAAUAAUAAUAAUAAUAAUAAUAAUAAUAAUACUUAACCAUGGCUCAUCUGAAGUGUAUUUUGGGAUUGAUUACCAUUAGAUCCCACUUUUGAAAAGCCAAAAAUACUACAGGCCUGAAAAACUGAGGGUCAGAAACCCUUUUCUUUAAAAUUUGUAGUGGUUUUAUAGGAAUUUUGCAUUUUAAGUCUAAAGGCGACUUCAAAUUUGCUCCAACUUCCUUUGAAGUUUCUGUGUUAUAUGAUGAAAUCAAUAUUGAUGUUAGUAAUAAAAUUUGUGAAAUAACUGUAUGAUUUUUUAUUGUGCUUUUCAGAUUCUACAUCCAAAAAUUCACCAAAAACAGCUAAAAUAUUGAAAAAAGGAAUUGUCAUUUCAGACCUGUUAUUUAAUAGUUGGGAAAGGAGGGAGAAAGGAUAAAGCAGUGCUUGUGUUUUCAUAACAGUUGGUGUCAAAACUGCAUUUCUUAUUCUUACCCACACAUAAGUCACAAUAAUAUAAAUUAUCCAAGAUAAUUAAGAGCAAUGCUUAUUGGAGUAAUCAUCCCAAUAAUGUUUCUCUUAAUACUGUUAACUAUUUUGGGUGUCUUUAAUAGUUGAUUUCUGCGAAGUGUGUUAAAGCACUGAGCUGUUGAACUUGCAGACCGAAAGGUCCUAGGUUCAAAGCCCGGGAGCGGAGUGAGCACCCGCUGUUAGCUCCAGCUCCUGCCAACCUAGCAGUUCGAAAACAUGCCAAUGUGAGUAGAUCAAUAGGUACCGCUCCGGCGGGAAGGUAACAGCGCUCCAUGCAGUCAUGCUGGCCACAUGACCUUGGAGGUGUCUACGGAACGCCGGCUCUUCGGCUUAGAAAUGGAGAUGAGCACCAACUCCCAGAGUCAGACAUGACUGGACAGAAAAGAUUUGUAUUUUUAAUGUUCAGAUUCUUCACCAUGCAUCAUUUAUCUCAUUUUAAAAAUGACUAGAUAAAAGUCAGCUGUUUAAAAGGAGAAAACUGAACUAAUAAUGGAAAGUAUAGCCACCCCUGAACACAACUAUUUAGCAGGCAAUUUUAUAUAAUUCCUAGACUUGUGGAAUCUAUGAAAAUUUCUAAUUCAACUCAGCAACCACAAAGAAAGAAACAAGCAAAUAGCCCUAGUAGAAUCCAUUAUAUAAUUCUAUAAAUUACUGGCUAAUGGCAUUUGUCAAAGGCUGCAAUGGUGAUCCAAAGUCAUAAUGUAAUUUGAGCUUUACAAAACACCAUUAACUGCAUUCUGUGAGGCUUUUAGUGAGUAAUCAUCAGGAGCCCCAGAAUUUCAGUAGGCGUGUUGUUAUUAAUUUUAUCUACAUGCAGGUAUCUUUUCAUAUAACUGAGAACACAAAAACUUUGCAUUAAAAUAACAACUGACUGAAGCAGAUAACACUUUGACAACCAUGCAAGCAAUGGGAAAAUAAGAAAAGAUAAAUACAGUAGAGUCUCAUUUAUCCAACAUGAACAGGCCAGCAGAACAUUGGAUUAGCAAAAAUGUUGGAUAAUAAGGAAGGAUUAAGGAAAAGCCUAUUGAACGUCAAAUUACAUUAUGAUUUUACAAAUUAAGCACCAAAACAUCAUGUUUUUUUACAAGUUUGCCACUUGUUUGGGAGUGUGGCUGCACUUGUAUUGUUGUUGUUGUUGGAUGUAUUGGCCUGCUGCACAUUGCUGCCUAGAGAAACAGCUGUGGAUCCCGGUGGGAGGCAGACUGCGUUGGAUAAUACAGAACAUUGGAUAAGCGAAGAUUGGAUAAGCAAGACAAGGGGCCGGGCUGUGGCGCAGGCUGGUUAGCAGCCAGCUGCAAUAAAUAGCUCUGAUCAAGAGGUCAUGAGUUCGAGGCCAGCCUGUGUCGGGGUGACCCGACAAUUAAAAUAAAAAAUAGCCCCUGCUCGUUGUUGACCUAAGCUUCCCGAAAGAUAGUUGCAUCUAUUAAGUAGGAAAUUUAGGUACCACUUAUAUGUGGGGAGGCUAAUUUACGACACCAUAAAAAUCAUCCAGCCACCGUUGGAAUGAGGAAGUUGCCAUCGCAGUGGAUGAUGAAGCAGCUGCUCCCCCUGUGGCCGGAAUCAAGCAUACCCUCAGGAAGCUGGAAGCUGGAGAAGGUUUAAAUUGCCUCUGCAUCUUUCUCUGUCCUAUGUUUAUAUGGCAUUGAAUGUUUGCCUUAUAUGUGUACAGUGUGAUCCACCCUGAGUCUCCUUCGGGGUGAGAAGGGCAGAAUAUAAAUACUGUAAAUAAAUAAAUACUAUACAUGAGUAAUUAAAAGAAUGAAUAAACGUAAUGUAUCAAGCAAAAGGGAAAUAUGCACAACUAUAUUCAGUGACCAUAACAUAUUCUGACACAUCUGCUCCUGCAAUUCAAUUAAGGGCCCAUCUACAUGGGCCACAUACAUCAAUACUGAUCCUGAAUGGAGUCCUGAGUUUAGGGAAAGUAGGAUGGCUGUGUUAACAGCCCUGGCUGCUUCUGGAUAGGAAAGAACCCGUUAUCUCACCACCUUAAAGUGCAGUAGAGCUCCAAAGCAUCCUGUGACUUAAAAACAUGAAACAAGGCAUUAUAGAUAUUAGAGUGAUUGUGGGCAUUACGAAGUCUAUUCAACCACAACCUAACUCAUUUGGCCCAUGUAGAUGGGCCCUCAGAAAAAAAUAAUUGUUAAGUGAUGCAUAGUGGGGCAAAAAAAUUCCAAACUUCACGUAUACACUGAUGGAAUCUGAUCGGGAAGCAAGUAUGGUCUUGGUCAAUAUCUCCUUGAAAAUGUCAUCGAUGUGCAGCUGCUAAAGCAGAAAUUAAAUUUCAAGAUGAGUAUGAUUAGAAUUGGAAUCCGAAACAACACUGCCAAUAUUAUACUACAACUCAUUAACUCUUUAAACGUUCUUUGGUGUGGGCUAAUCUAGUAGGAUUAAGGGCCAAUCCAGUUGGAGUAACAUGCAGCACCACUUGUGUGCAUAGCCACUGAUGCCAAUAAUGCCAAGUAUUGCUUCUAAAGGGUUAGUAAAAGAAGAAGUCACAGUUUGCCUUUACAAUUUUGCCUGGUGUGUUUUGUUUACCACAGAUUACUACUGGUUUCCGAGAGAUUAGAAAUUGAAAAUAAUAUAUUUCAAGACUGCUAAUCAGCUGGGAAGUUUGCCCAUGCCUGAGUUAGCCCAUUUCACUGCUAUGCAGGCAAAGAUUUUUUUAUUUAGGCAGGCCUUUGAAUGAUUUUAAUCAUAUGUGCAAAUUGGUGUGUCUUUAAUUUAGUGCUUUAAAUGUAUUUAAAAUUAUAUAUGAAUCAUUAGCUGUUUGUUUGAAUAGAGUUGAUACUAUUUUCAAACUUUUUGCAGCUGUACAUUUUUAGCCAAACCUUUACUUUAAAUUGUGUAAACCGUUGUAAGGAAGGCUGUAAAUGCAAUAAAUAAAUCAUAAAUCACA